UCUAAGGAAACUGCCGGUGAUAAGCCGGAGGAAGGUGGGGAUGACGUCAAGUCCUCAUGGCCCUUACGCGCUGGGCUACACACGUGCUACAAUGGCGGUGACAGUGGGCAGCAAACUCGCGAGAGUGAGCAAAUCCCCAAAAACCGUCUCAGUUCGGAUUGUUCUCUGCAACUCGAGAGCAUGAAGGCGGAAUCGCUAGUAAUCGCGGAUCAGCAUGCCGCGGUGAAUACGUUCCCAGGCCUUGUACACACCGCCCGUCACACCAUGGGAGUUGGUUUCACCCGAAGGCAGUGCGCUAACCGCAAGGAGGCAGCUGACCACGGUGGGAUCAGCGACUGGGGUGAAGUCGUAACAAGGUAGCCGUAGGGGAACCUGCGGCUGGAUCACCUCCUUA
rnacentral:rRNA from 1 species